UACAGAGGGGGCAAGCGUUAUUCGGAAUUAUUGGGCGUAAAGGGCGCGUAGGCGGCUUGGCAAGUGGAUGGUGAAAUCCCUCGGCUUAACCGAGGAACUGCCGUCCAAACUGCUUUGCUUGAGACCGGGAGAGGUGAGUGGAAUUCCCAGUGUAGCGGUGAAAUGCGUAGAUAUUGGGAGGAACACCAGUGGCGAAGGCGGCUCACUGGACCGGUACUGACGCUGAUGCGCGAAAGCGUGGGGAGCAACGGG
rnacentral:rRNA from 1 species